UAACAAAAUCCUAAUUAUUUAAGCAAAAUAGAAAAAAUAUGGAUCAAGUACUCAUGCUUGUUUAUGCUUUGAACAUCUUUGUUUCUCUAAUUCUUGUUGAAGCAAGUAACAUGCAAAGAACAAGCUAUCAUUGUAAUGCUGACCAUGAUUGUCCAUAUUUUAUAAAUUAUUUUUAUAGGUGCUUUGGUCAUCUUUGUCACUACUUGAAUAUGCAUCCCCAAACCCGGACAAAUUUUCAUUAGAUAAAGUAGAAGAGUCUCUUGUAACAGUUUCUCAAAAGUGGUAAUUGGAAAUGACUUUUUGAAAAUGUCUUCAAGACUA